AUGAUAUAAAUGGAGCAACCUGAAGGGUUAGCAACAUUCAGGAGGUUUAUAAUAUGUAUCUCAUAUGAUGUGAAGAUUCUAUUAAUGAGACACACAUCCACUUAUUGAUAGUCCUUAGACUGUUAUCUUCAUCUCCUGGUGCCAUAGGAUAGCAUCUGACAAGCUCUUAGAAAUUGUGUGGUUGGGGGAACUAAUCCCAGAGUGAUUUUCAAGGAUCUCUAAGAUACUUCGUCAUCUCCUCCCUCCAAGGUAAACACACACACACACACACACACGCACACACACACACACACACACACACAAUUUUCUUUUUUUUCCUGAGAUACACUGUCCUUACAUACAAAACGAUUAUCAACAGUAAAAUGAUAAAAUAACCAGUUUUAUGUAAGCGGGUCUAGUCACCUUUAUACUAAUCAUUGAUUCAUAACUUUUUUAACAACCUAGAACCUCUUCUAUUAUUUGCUCUCUACUUUAUAAACCUUAAGAGUUGAAUAAAAGAAGUCUUCACAAAGAAUUACUCA
rnacentral:lncRNA from 13 species